GGGGUUGUAGUCCAGUGGUAAGACGUCCUCUCUUGAAAAAGUAUCCUUACAAAUACCCCCUGACAUCAAGAGAGGAAGACGGUGGUUCGAUUCCGCCCUGCUCCA
rnacentral:tRNA from 1 species